UACUUAGGGUGCGAGCGUUGUCCGGAAUUAUUGGGCGUAAAGAGCUCGUAGGCGGCUUGUCGCGUCGGAUGUGAAAGCCCGGGGCUUAACCCCGGGUCUGCAUUCGAUACGGGCAGGCUAGAGUGUGGUAGGGGAGAUCGGAAUUCCUGGUGUAGCGGUGAAAUGCGCAGAUAUCAGGAGGAACACCGGUGGCGAAGGCGGAUCUCUGGGCCAUUACUGACGCUGAGACACGAAAGCGUGGGUAGCAAACAGG
rnacentral:rRNA from 1 species